CAAAAAAAUAAUUCUGAAAAAAAAAAAAAAAGACAAUUUACUUCACGUUUUCAGAAGCUGCUUCCCUUUGAGAAGCAGAAAGGAGAGCACUGUUAGGAGGAGGGAUGAGAAAUGGGAGCAACUGAGGAGACAGGAUGGUCUCAGAGCAGGGGUACCUUUCUUCUUCCACAUGCUCGUGUGAGGGAUACGUUCUUCAGUGACACACAAAAUUUGCUGCAAGUAACAAGUCAAAACGCUAAAAUCUUUAAAAGCAAAACAUCCCCUUUUGUUCAAGCGUGCUCACAGCUUUGUCAGUCAGUGUCACAGAGAAACAGCAGAUGGAUUCAACAUAUGAUCUGGGGUUUUUAAGAAAUCAGAUGUGGUCAAUGGCAUCCAUGUUAAUGACUCACGUAGAUCAUAAAAGUACAUUUCCAAGGGGUGUGACUACAGCAGCUAUUCUGCUCUACCAGCCGCAUCACCAGGGCAACAUGGCAUUCACAGGCAAAUACGAAUUUGAAAGCGAUGAGAACUAUGAUGACUUUGUGAAGAAGAUUGGUCUCCCUGCUGACAAGAUUGAAAUGGGAAGGAAUUGCAAAAUAGUCACCGAGGUGGUGCAGAAUGGAAAUGAUUUCACCUGGACACAGCACUUCCCAGGAGGACGCACCACGACUAACUCAUUCACUAUAGACAAGGAAGCAGACAUGGAGACAAUGGGUGGAAGAAAGUUCAAGGCAACUGUUAAAAUGGAAGGUGGGAAAAUAGUAGCUGAUUUUCCCAACUAUCAUCAUACUGCAGAGAUUGCUGGAGGAAAGCUAGUAGAGACGCUUCAGAACUCCGUUGUGCAGCCCUCCCAGCGUCAUAUUGGAAGCCUCUAUCCGAGAUCUUACCAUUAUACCAGGUCUGAGAACUCAUAAAAAGAAGGUUGAGCACACCACUGUCGUCCUACCUGCAGCAUAGCAGUGCAAAUGUACCUGGGACCCCUGAAGUUCUCAUCUUGAGUCGAUUAAUAAAAAACCAACCAAUAAACCCACACCAGAAGCACCACCUGCACUGUGCCCCAGCGCCUUCCUUCUUCUCCAGCACAGCCCAUCUGGUCUGCACCAAUC